rnacentral:rRNA from 1 species
AUUGAACGCUGGCGGCAUGCCUUACACAUGCAAGUCGAACGGCAGCACGGGGGCAACCCUGGUGGCGAGUGGCGAACGGGUGAGUAAUGCAUCGGAACGUGCCCAGUAGUGGGGGAUAACCAGUCGAAAGACUGGCUAAUACCGCAUACGACCUAAGGGUGAAAGCGGGGGACCGUAAGGCCUCGCGCUAUUGGAACGGCCGAUGUCUGAUUAGCUAGUUGGCGGGGUAAGAGCCCACCAAGGCGACGAUCAGUAGCUGUUCUGAGAGGACGACCAGCCACACUGGGACUGAGACACGGCCCAGACUCCUACGGGAGGCAGCAGUGGGGAAUUUUGGACAAUGGGCGCAAGCCUGAUCCAGCCAUGCCGCGUGCGGGAAGAAGGCCUUCGGGUUGAAAACCGCUUUUGGCAGGAACGAAACGGCGCAGGCCAAUACCUUGCGCUAAUGACGGUACCUGCAGAAUAAGCACCGGCUAACUACGUGCCAGCAGCCGCCGUAAAAC